AUUGAACGUUGGCGGCAUGCCUUACACAUGCAAGUCGAACGGCAGCACGGGAGCAAUCCUGGUGGCGAGUGGCGAACGGGUGAGUAAAGUAUCGGAACGUGCCCAGUCGUGGGGGAUAACGUAGCGAAAGUUACGCUAAUACCGCAUACGAUCUAUGGAUGAAAGCGGGGGAUCGCAAGACCUCGCGCGAUUGGAGCGGCCGAUAUCAGAUUAGGUAGUUGGGGGGGUAAAGGCCCACCAAGCCGACGAUCUGUAGCUGGUCUGAGAGGACGGCCAGCCACCGUGGGACUGGGACACGGCCCAGACUCCUAAGGGAGGCAGCAGUGGGGAAUUUUGGACAAUGGGCGAAAGCCUGAUCCAGCCAUGCCGCGUGCAGGAUGAAGGCCUUCGGGUUGUAAACUGCUUUUGUACGGAACGAAAAGGUUUGGCCUAAUAAGCUGAGCUCAUGACGGUACCGUAAGAAUAAGCACCGGCUAACUACGUGCCAGCAGCCGCAGUAA
rnacentral:rRNA from 1 species